rnacentral:rRNA from 1 species
AGAGUUUGAUCCUGGCUCAGGACGAACGCUGGCGGCGUGCCUAAUACAUGCAAGUCGAGCGAGUCCUUCGGGGCUAGCGGCGGACGGGUGAGUAACACGUAGGCAACCUGCCUGUAAGACUGGGAUAACUAGCGGAAACGUUAGCUAAUACCGGAUAAGUAGAAGAGAGGCAUCUUUCUUCCUGGAAAGGCGGAGCAAUC